AUGCACUUUGGUUAGAGAUUUUCAUUUGGUGUCAAACGCACCUAGUUGUAAACAAAUGGAAAUUGAAAGUAAAAGUGCAACGGCACGGUAUAUUUUUUCUGGCAUUUUUUGUUUUCCAAUAUCUCGAACUUUCACGACAAAAAGACCAUUUUCCCGAAAUUCAAUAUAUGUAUCUGUGAGAGGUGCUAAAGUUUGUAUGGAAGUCUAUGGGAAAACAUUUGGUGGUGUUUGUCCUAUAGAAAAGCAAUGCAUUAUCAAGAAGGAAGAGAUUAAUGAACCCUACCCUCUUACAAUGAACAAAACAUGGACACUCUCGGGAUGAUCCUUUUGCUUUCAUUAAGAGUUUCAAGAUGUGGGUCUGAUUGACUGGGGUGUGAAAUGUAACAGCCGAUGGUGUACUUAAGCUAAGACUGUCAGUCCCAAUAUUCAAGAGGAAAAACCCCUACAUAAACAAAUACAUGGGCGCAGACAUUUUGGACACCCAAGGUUGUGCGGAGGAGAAAAUGCUAGCUGGCGCGUGAUUGGUCAAUAAGAGAAAAGACUUGUUAUGUAUUUGACAAGUGAAAUAAAG